GCUGAUGCUGAAGUCCAGGAUGUCUCCACACGAGCAGUGAGACUUUCCCUUCCGCACCAAUCCCUCUGAAGCCAGCUGUUCUCUGCCGCACUCCAGUGUAUCCUUCCGUAGAUCUGACAUGGGCUUACAUCAAACAAUUUCAAAUAUACGGCAGAAGAAAAGUAGAGUCUUGAUAAAUCUGUAGUUUCUUUGCCUUUUUAAAUAAGGAAGUUGGUUUCAGGGUUUGCUGUUUUAAGAAUUUUCUCUUGGGCUAGAUGUGGUGGUCUAUGCCUGUAAUGUUUGCCCUGAGUCAGGAGGAUAACCACAAACUCAAGAUCACCCUUGGUAUAUACAUAGUGCCUUCCAGGUUAGCCAGGGAAACAGUGAGACCCCGUCUCACAAAAGAAAAAGGAAUGGUUUGCGUUAUACACUUACUUACAGCUCUUUUGUCAUGUGAGUUGACAAACCUGUUUUGAAAAUUGAUCAAUUGAGGUGUAUGGUUGCUUGAAGUAAUGAAUAGGGGCUUCCUUUCCUUUCCUUUCGGCACUUCCUUGGUUUAGAAAGCAAACAGGAACUAUCCCUCAAGGAUUAUGUUAUACAUAGUGUUGUUCUGAGAGGUAGAGCCCAACUGGUGGACGAUCAAGAGACGACAGGCCUCAUUCAAAAGUAGACGUCCGGGUUCUGUUUCUCCAGACUGUCCCCUAGCAACGAGCAGCAUGGAAGGAGGCAGCACAUUUCCUGGCCACCGAAGAAUCUGUGAGUCCAACAAAAGGCAGAGAAGAAACCAAGGGAUAGAGGAGAGCCCAUGAGAGAGAUGACUCCAUGCCUCCCUAGGGCCUUGCCCAAGGUUUCCUUGAUUUUCCAGCGCAGCUCUGCUCCGCGCAGUGUCUGGUUGUGUGAUCCUGGUGACGGAAGUGAAGUGGGAGUUCCUGGCCGUGCCCUCUAACUUUGUCCUUUCCAUAUAUCUUGGUGACAUAUUUUUCCAGAUGAAGAGUCCAAGUUGACCUUAAAUUCAGUGUGUAGCCACGGCAUGUCAUGGUGGAGAAGGUAUGGUGGCAGGAACCCUGGUCACAGUGUGCCUACAGUCAAGAAGCAAAGUGAAUUAUGGUUGGUGGUCUGAUCAUGUUCUCCUUUUCAUCCAGUCUGGGACUCCAGCUCAUGGAAUGCUGCUACUCACACCCAGGAUCCAGGGAACCCACUGCUGUCUUCUGGCUGGCUCCUGUGGGUACCAGGCACGUACGUGGUGCACAUAGAUCUACAUUCAGCUGUAGAGUCUACAUAGCAGCUCCAGGAAAAAUACCUCCCCCCUCCCAGCAUCCUGUUCAACAAGGAUGAAACAGCAAGCUCCAGUGAGGAAUGUGAAGAAGGGCUUCCUGCCUUCCUCAGCCUUGGCCCCCUAAAAGGGAGAUGACCAUAAAGUGAAACACCACCAAGUAUUUGUUCUGCAAAUGAGUUCCACAGAUGUGCACCAUCAGCUUGGUUUCUAUCCCCUCAUGUUCAGGCCAAAUGAAAGCAGAGGUUCCAUGUGGCUGGUGUCUGUUCUUCGCUCCCUCCUUGUGGAUGAGAUGCAUGUUGCUAAGGCUUUUUUGUUGUGGCUUAGCUCGUCGUGGUUUGGUUAGAGUGGUUUGUAAAAUGAGUGUAGCUGAGAGAAAUUUUCCAUCCGUGAAAAUGAGGAACACCCCUCUAAAAUCUGAGGAGUAAAGGAAGAAUUCUGUUACAAAACAGCGAGUUGCCCCAGAAACCCAGUGAUGACAACCUGCGUAGGCAUGCAGAAGCAGAUGCCUGUGGUGGGGAUAACUUGGCAUUUGGAAUCUAGAACCUCCAUUCCGGCUUCGAGGCUGGAGGCUGGUGGAGCUGUGGUUAGUCACUGGAGGCAGGAGUCUGCAUCCAGUAGCUCGAGAGCCACUCCUGGACUUGGCUGUUGGCAGGGCGAGUCUUUGUUCUGUGCCUCAGUUUACUCAUGUGUAAAGUGGGGAACACAGUGGUACCUACAUCACGAUUUUCAUCAAGAUUAAAUGUGAAAGCUAUUUUAUAUGAGCUAUAAGAUUCUAAAUAAUCACCAAUUGAACAUUUCACAUCUUUCUCCUCUUCGAACUCCUCAUUGUUAUCAGACAAUCUGUAACUUUCCAAGUCCCUCCCUUCAAUUCCGUGAUUCUACAUUGCUAGGCAGUUUUCUCAAUUUUAAUAAAUCAAAUGAAUGGAGAGCCAUA